rnacentral:misc_RNA from 1 species
GGUCCACUCAUGCUGUUCUGUGGCAUUCCAGCCAUGUUGGGGGGAGGGUUCUGCAUGCCCUGAUUAUCCAUUGGAGUUACCCUUGUGUUCUGGAAAUCUCUGUUCUGCAUAUUUUCCCUUCUUCUUUCAUAGUUUCUUGACCUGUCAAAGUUACGAGGCCUAUCGUUGCGCCUAUUUCUCUCAUUUGCCCUCGCAUUAUUCCUUAUCCAUUCUUCAUGGUACUUUGGAUCAUAGGGAACAGCUUUGCCAUCAAUAAAUGGCUCCCCUCCAUAAUCUUUGUUCUUAACGUCCAAAUAUGAAUCAGGAAGAACCCAACGAACCCUGGGCAAUUCUGAGAAGAUGGAAGAAAAAUACAUAAGAUAUAUUUCAAAUACUGCCAAUACAAACAUUAACAGCAUAAAAUUAACACUUGGAAGGUAGAAAUACUUUUAAUCUCGUAAGAAAGCUCUUCAGACACGAGAGCUCCAAAAGCAUAGUAACAUCUAGUUGAAACUGAGUAGAUCUUCUUCCUUGCUUCUUCCUCACUGCCCACAACCAUAGCCAGGGUUUUGAUAUAGCUAUCAAUUAUUUCAUCCCUCGUAGGAUCGCCCUCUGGCUUCUCCAUAACCACAAGCCAGUGUUCAAAGUCGCAUCCAUCCAGCAAGAUAGUCUCUUUCGGAGGCCUGUUAGACCAGUUAGGGCUCGGAUCAUUAAGCGAGGACGUUGUAGUCCGGGUCGAGAAGGACCGAGUAGCUAGAGCAGGAGAAAGAUUAAAGGAGGCGAAGCUGGCAGCGGCGGAGAGGGGCCGCAGACUACGGAGGAGAGAGAAAGAGCGAGAGACAGGAUUGGUUGUGGGGAGGGAAGAUAAAGAGCGAGAGAGAAGAGAAAGAAUUAGCGUUUUGUUGGAGGAUGUCGGCCUGCAGAGUACAGGGCGAGUGAAGAGGCGAAUAGCCAUUUUCUGAUGAUACCCAAGCACUAGCAGAGAGACUGAGAAAUGAACUCGUUUCGCGGGGUUUUAUCAGGAACAGUC